UUCUCUGUAAUCGCCGUUACAGCUGCUUUUACUUUAUCGAUCAAUGAUGUUCUUUACUCAGUCCUUUAUUGUUUCGAUCCACCUCCUGAUGAUUCUUCAUCCUCCAAAUCCAGACGUUUCAUGUUUCUAUCAACCACUUGCUAUAAAUUUAGGGACAUACACACGAACCCUCACUACCCAAACCAAGUACUAUGUUCUUACUUUUCUAUUCCCCUUUUCCAUCAUGGCUAACCUCGAUUUUGUCGUUCUACUUGACAUUUGACAAUCUGCAUAUUUGCCGUUUUCUCAAGAGGAAACUCAUCAUGUACUGGGAUUAUUAGGUUUUUUAAAUAUCCCUUGCAUGUUCAAUUGCUAUUAAUCUCGAUACCAAGAGCUUCUUGGGGAUAAACAGGUUAACAGUUAACUCUCUUUUGGCUUUUCAAAACUGUUAUCAUUCUCUGCAAUUCAAUUUUUAUUUUCCAUUUAUCCGUCAUGUUUGAUUCCUCUUAUGAGUUUUUGGUAAUCAAGAAACUCCCAAAGCUGAUUCUUUCUAAAUAUGUAGUAAAACCUAUCAUCUUAAUUUGUUGGUUACUCACAUAAUUUUACUUUUGUUUUGGACCUUUUGGCGUUCACUCUAAUGAUUGUUAUUGUUGAAUUAACUUGAUUUUAGUUGUUCGUCCUAGGUUCUGAUUCAUCGCCUCCAAGGAAAAAACUCAGGUUUGCUAAUAACAGACAUGUUUCUUUGUUAAUAUUGUGAUCCGCUAUCUCUUUUAUCACGUGAUCUUAGUUGGUUCUUUCUGAUUCCUUCAUGACUUCCCUACUUUGGCUUAUUUAAACUCAUAUUCAGAAGCUUGAGAAGGAACUUAAGUUUCUCAAGAAUCACUCUCAACCAAAUAUAUUUGUAAGUAAUAAAAGCUUUUUGUAUUCACUGUUUGGUACACCCACAUGUCUUUGUUUCUUUUAUAAAUCUUUCAUUCAAAGCUUUGUGAUUGAUUUAUUCGUAGAAAGCUGUGUGUUUUGUGGACUAAAGCUGUGUGUUUUGUGGACUUAUGGUCCAGCAGAGAGAGAGAGAGAGAGAGAGAGAUAAGUUUUCCCUAAAUCAGCUAUUCCUCUGUCUCUGUGAGUCUACUCUUAUCAUGGAUGGUGGGAGAACGAGCUUUUGGAUGGAGAAGGGAAGCGGGAAGAAACAUUGGCUGUUAUUAGCGAGGAAGCUGGAGCAUUGGCCACGGCUGAUGGGAACCAAGAGCUUAAACUCAAGUGUCAUCUAAACUAUUGUUCUUCAGGACUUUUGUAAGUGGAAGUGGUUGUCCAAGAUGGUAAGAAGAAAAAGAAAGGUAGAAGACUAAGGAAGAAGAUGAAGAACAACGAAAAGUGGGUGCUUGGGUAAAGGAGGAGAACACAACAUUAUAAAAAGGUUGUGCUUGGACAUGUAAGGUGUCAUAAGGGAAGGAACUAUAAAAUGAUUUUCACCUGAAUUAUUUAUCAUGGCUGGAGGGGUUGUGAUUUCGGGACCGACCUCUGUUUUUGUUUUCUUUUCUGGUGGAGUAGGAAGAAAAACAUUCAGAGAUUUCAUUUGAUAUACUAUGCGUUUUAGAUCCGAGAUUGUUCAAAAAGUAAAAUUUAAGAUCAGACUUCUUAAACAAAGUGAUUUCAAGCAAGUAUAUUUUCUGAUUUUCA